rnacentral:lncRNA from 12 species
AUGAAGCCACCUAUCUGUUUCUAUUUAAAGGCAUAUUGCAUCUCUUACUUCCUUUUGGCCAAAGGACAAGAGGAAAUAAAAAGGAAAGGAAGUAGGGACCUGUUUCUGAGAAGCCCCCAUGUAAAACAAAUUCAGAGGAUAUCUCACUGGAUGAGGCUACCUUUCCAGCAACUACCAUCUGUAACAAAAGGAGAGAUUUUAUGGAAGAAGAUUUAAGAAGAACAUUAGGUAGGCAUUUGUUCAUGCUAGCAGUACUUGACAUUUUACAGGUUCUAAUUCAUUGAGUCCUCAUAUCAAUGCUACGUGUAGGGUUUUUUUAUUCCUCUCUUACAGUUGGGGUAAUCAAGUCUCUGAGAGGGUAAGUUACCUAUGCAAGGUCACACCAUGAAUAAAUGCAGAACCGAGAUCUAAACUCA